AAACCCGGUGAUCUAGCCAUGGGCAGGUUGAAGGUUGGGUAACACUAACUGGAGGACCGAACCGACUAAUGUUGAAAAAUUAGCGGAUGACUUGUGGCUGGGGGUGAAAGGCCAAUCAAACCGGGAGAUAGCUGGUUCUCCCCGAAAUCUAUUUAGGUAGAGCCUUGAGCGGACACCUUCGGGGGUAGAGCACUGUUUCGGCUAGGGGUCCAUCCCGGAUUACCAACCCGAUGCAAACUACGAAUACCGAAGAGUGAUACUCAGGAGACACACGGCGGGUGCUAACGUCCGUCGUGGAGAGGGAAACAACCCAGACCGCCAGCUAAGGUCCCAAAGUCUAUAUUAAGUGGGAAACGAAGUGGGAAGGCUUAGACAGCUAGGAUGUUGGCUUAGAAGCAGCCAUCAUUUAAAGAAAGCGUAAUAGCUCACUAGUCGAGUCGGCCUGCGCGGAAGAUGUAACGGGGCUCAAAUAUAGCACCGAAGCUGCGGCAUCAGUAGCAAUACUGUUGGGUAGGGGAGCGUUCUGUAAGCGGAUGAAGAUGGCUCGAGAGGGCUGUUGGACGUAUCAGAAGUGCGAAUGCUGACAUAAGUAACGAUAAAACGGGUGAAAAACCCGUUCGCCGGAAGACCAAGGGUUCCUGUCCAACGUUAAUCGGGGCAGGGUGAGUCGGCCCCUAAGGCGAGGCUGAAAAGCGUAGUCGAUGGGAAACGGGUUAAUAUUCCCGUACUUGGAUAAACUGCGAUGUGGGGACGGAGCAGGUUAGGUUAUCGCACUGUUGGAUAUGUGCGUUUAAGUUGGUAGGUGUGAAGUUUAGGCAAAUCCGGACUUCUUUAACACCGAGAGAUGAUGACGAGGCUCUACGGAGCUGAAGUAACCGAUACCACACUUCCAGGAAAAGCCACUAAGCUUCAGGUUUAUCUAAACCGUACUGAAAACCGACACAGGUGGUCAGGUAGAGAAUACUCAGGCGCUUGAGAGAACUCGGGUGAAGGAACUAGGCAAAAUAGCACCGUAACUUCGGGAGAAGGUGCGCCGGCGUAGAUUGUAGUCCCUUGCGGAUGAAGGUUGAACCGGUCGAAGAUACCAGCUGGCUGCAACUGUUUAUUAAAAACACAGCACUCUGCAAACACGAAAGUGGACGUAUAGGGUGUGAUGCCUGCCCGGUGCUGGAAGGUUAAUUGAUGGUGUAAUCGAAAGAGAAGCUCCUGAUCGAAGCCCCAGUAAACGGCGGCCGUAACUAUAACGGUCCUAAGGUAGCGAAAUUCCUUGUCGGGUAAGUUCCGACCUGCACGAAUGGCAUAAUGAUGGCCAGGCUGUCUCCACCCGAGACUCAGUGAAAUUGAAAUCGCCGUGAAGAUGCGGUGUACCCGCGGCUAGACGGAAAGACCCCGUGAACCUUUACUAUAGCUUGACACUGAACAUUGAAUUUUGAUGUGUAGGAUAGGUGGGAGACUUAGAAGUAGUC
rnacentral:rRNA from 1 species